CGGGAUGGCUAGAGUGGCGAACGGGUGAGUAACACGUAUGUGAUCUGCCCGUCAGUUGGGGAUAGCCCAGGGGAGCGUGGGGUAAUACCGAAUACGCUCAGGACCCUGUGGGGAUCUGAGGAAAAGCGCUUCGGCGCUGCUCGAGGAUGAGCCUGCGGCUGAUUAGUUAGUUGGUGGGGUAACGGCCUACCAAUGCGACGAUCAGUAGCCGGCCUGAGAGGGUGAGCGGCCACACUGGGACUGAGAUACGGGCCAGACUGGGAGCGGGAAGCAGCAGCUAAGAAUCUUCUACAGUGGACGAAAGUCUGAUAGAGCGACGCCGCGUGAGUGAUUGCAGCCGGAAGGUUGUAAAGCCCUUUUCUAUACGAGGAAUAACCAUAGGAGGCAAUGCCUGUGUGAUGACUGUAGGGUAGGAAUAAGCCCCGGCCAAUUACGUGCCAGCAGCCGAGGUAACACGUAUGGGGCGAGCGUUGUGCGGAAUCAUUGGGCGUAAAGGGCGCGUAGGCGUAUAUGCAAGCCUUGGUGUGAAAGACCGCAGCUCAACUGCGGGAUCGUGCUGAGAACUGCAUAUCUUGAGUUCAAGAGGGGAAGCUGGAAUUCCAGGUGUAGGGGUGAAAUCUGUAGAUAUCUGGAAGAACAUCAGUGGCGAAGGCGAGCUUCUGGCUUUGAACUGACGCUGAGGCGCGAAAG
rnacentral:rRNA from 1 species